AUUGAACGCUAGCGGGAUGCUUUACACAUGCAAGUCGAACGGCAGCGCGGACUUCGGUCUGGCGGCGAGUGGCGAACGGGUGAGUAAUGUAUCGGAACGUGCCCAGUAGCGGGGGAUAACUACGCGAAAGCGUAGCUAAUACCGCAUACGCCCUACGGGGGGAAAGCAGGGGAUCGUAAGACCUUGCACUAUUGGAGCGGCCGAUAUCGGAUUAGCUAGUUGGUGAGGUAACGGCUCACCAAGGCGACGAUCCGUAGCUGGUUUGAGAGGACGACCAGCCACACUGUGACUGAGACACGGCCCAGACUCCUACGGGAGGCAGCAGUGGGGAAUUUUGGACAAUGGGGGCAACCCUGAUCCAGCCAUCCCGCGUGUGCGAUGAAGGCCUUCGGGUUGUAAAGCACUUUUGGCAGGAAAGAAACGUCGCGGGCUAAUACCCCGUGGAACUGACGGUACCUGCAGAAUAAGCACCGGCUAACUACGUG
rnacentral:rRNA from 1 species